UCCUCCUCCAAAUCCGAUUUUUUGAUUGGUUAAAAUGUUUAAUUGUCGUAGUGACAAUUUCGCUCAGCCAAUCAAAAAAUCGGAUUUAGAGGAGGACAUAACGAUAACGUGAAGCAUAAACGCACCUUAACUAAUAUAAUAUAAAAAUCUAAUCUUUGAUUUCAAAUUUCAGCGAAUUAGCAUAAAUGCGUGAUUGAAAUGUAAAACUAGGCGAUCCUGUAUGAAGUAUGUAAUCCUUUGAGAUUUAUGUACAGGUUUAAAUAAUUAUAUUAAUAUUAGUAUAAUUAGGUUUAAAUAUAGUGCAUCAACAAUAAUUUUGUACUCGAUAAAGUAGCAAAUUCUGAAUGUGACAACGAGUAAGUGAAAGUUUAUAAAUCUGGGUUUGUGUCAUAGAAAUCCUUUGUUCACCAAACUUAUUAUGCACGAUUGCUUGACUUUUAGUGCCUAGUUACCCUUAAGGGAGACGCGUUACCUAGAUACUUAAGGUCAAGCAAUCGUGCUUAUUAUGGGACAACCUUCUGAAAAUAUUCUGAAAACUCAGGAUGACUUAAGAUUACUAUAAAUAUGGCAGAAGAUAUUCCCGAGGAUUCGGCUGACGCAUCUCUAGUCUAUGAACCUGGAUGGAUUCGAAGUGUCUGGAACAGGGUCUGGUUUGGAACGUCGUCCGCUAGACUUCAGAAUGCUGAAACGAGUCUUCUUCAACACGUUGGGGCUUCUUAUAAUACAAAAUAUGUCAAGGUCGGUCCAAUUUUAUCCGACAAUGACCUAUACGUAUGGACUUUUAGUAGCAAUGAGAACUUGGAAGGUCAUCCAUAGUCUUUCUUCAUGGACUUGGAUCUGGGUUGGGAUUAUGGACGUUAAAUUUUAAAGGAAUGAUAGAAUCACAAACGAGACCCGUGUACGCCAUCGACAUGCCCGGAUUCGGACGAAGCUCAAGACCAGAUUAUAGCUGCAUUCCUGAAGAGGCUGAAAACCGUAUGGAUGUCGACAUCCUGAGAGAAUAGUUCAUAUUAUUUUGGCUGAUCCAUGGGGAUUUAAACAGCCUCCAACUGGGUUGCUGGAUGCACAACACAUUCCGCUGCACCACCGUUAUAUCGCCAAUGUUUUUGCAUGCUUUGCCCAUCAAUCCAUUGUGGUCACUUAGGGUUGCAGGACCAUUAGGACCUCGAGUCUUGAAAAUGAUAAGGGCUGAUCUCAUAAAAAACUUUUCGACCCAAAUUGACGAUGCAGAGACGAAGAUUUCGAACUACAUAUAUCAUAGUAACGCACAAAACUCAACGGGCGAAUCCGCAUUUUAUACUUUAAUGAACAUGUUUGGGUGGGCCAAGAACCCAAUGGAGAUGAGGCUGGAGACUCUUGACGAUAAAAUCCCUUUGACAUUAAUUUAUGGAGGUAAAUCAUGGGUGGAUCAUUAUCCGGCAGAGGAAAUCGUGAAUCGAAGACCAGGUUCUUACGUCAAUUUUCAUAUGUUGGACGCUGGUCAUCACGUUUACGCCGACCAGUUCGAAAGUUUUAACCAAAUAGUGAUAGACGCUUGUCAAGUGGGCGUAGGUGAUGCGGGACGACGUCGACAGUAGAGCUGCUUAAAACUUCGCCUCUCAUUGAGGGUUGGAGAAAACCCCGUUUAAGCGAAAAAUUAAUAAUUUAUGAAAAUUGACCCUGUACUUUGACCUUAUACUUACUUUGAACGACUAAAAUAAAAAUUGUCAGAAUAUUUUAUA